rnacentral:rRNA from 1 species
UAUUGGACAAUGGGGGCAACCCUGAUCCAGCCAUGCCGCGUGCGUGAAGAAGGCCCUCGGGUUGUAAAGCUCUUUUGUCCGGAAAGAAAAGCAUUCGGUGAAUACCCUGAUGUUCUGACGGUACCGGAAGAAUAAGCACCGGCUAACUUCGUGCCAGCAGCCGCGGUAAUACGAAGGGUGCAAGCGUUACUCGGAAUUACUGGGCGUAAAGCGUGCGUAGGUGGUUGUUUAAGUCUGAUGUGAAAGCCCGUGGCUCAACCUGGGAAUGGCUUGGGAAACUGGGCAGCUAGAGUGCGGUAGAGGGUAGCGGAAUUCCCGGUGUAGCAGUGAAUUGCGUAGAGUUCGGGAGGAACAUCUGUGGCGAAGGCGACUGCCUAGA